rnacentral:rRNA from 1 species
UACUCCCCAGGGCGGGGUACUUAUUGCGUUAACUCCGGCACAGAAGGGGUCGAUACCUCCUACACCUAGUACCCAUCGUUUACGGCCAGGAUUACCGGGGUAUCUAAUCCCGUUCACUCCCCUGGCUUUCGCGCCUCAGCGUCAGACACAGUCCAGAAAGUCGCCUUCGCCACUGGUGUUCCUCCUAAUAUCUACGCAUUUCACCGCUACACUAGGAAUUCCACUUUCCUCUCCUGCACUCAAGAAAUGUAGUUUCCAUCCCAUCACGGGGUUGAGCCCCGAACUUUUAAGACAGACUUACAUUCCCGCCUGCGCGCGCUUUACGCCCAAUAAUUCCGGACAACGCUUGCCACCUACGUAUUACCGCGGCUGCUGGCACGUAGUUAGCCGUGGCUUCCUCCUCAGGUACCGUCAUUACUUAACAUUAUUCACAUUAAGCACAUUCGUCCCUGAAGACAGAGCUUUACGAUCCGAAAACCUUCUUCACUCACGCGGCGUUGCUCCGUCAGACUUUCGGC